rnacentral:rRNA from 1 species
GACGAACGCUGGCGGCGUGCUUAACACAUGCAAGUCGAACGGAAAGGCCCUGCUUUUGUGGGGUGCUCGAGUGGCGAACGGGUGAGUAACACGUGAGUAACCUGCCCUUGACUUUGGGAUAACUUCAGGAAACUGGGGCUAAUACCGGAUAGGAGCUCCUGCUGCAUGGUGGGGGUUGGAAAGUUUCGGCGGUUGGGGAUGGACUCGCGGCUUAUCAGCUUGUUGGUGGGGUAGUGGCUUACCAAGGCUUUGACGGGUAGCCGGCCUGAGAGGGUGACCGGCCACAUUGGGAGUGAGAGACGGCCCAGACUCCUACGUGAGGCAGCGGUGGGGAGUAUUGCACAAUGGGCGGAAGCCUGAUGCAGCAACGCCGCGUGCGGGAUGACGGCCUUCGGGUUGUAAACCGCUUUCGCCUGUGACGAAGCGUGAGUGACGGUAAUGGGGAAAGAAGCACCGGCUAACUACGU